rnacentral:rRNA from 1 species
AUUAACGCUGGCGGCGUGCAUAACACAUGCAAGUCGAACGAUGAAACUUAAAUGAUUUCUUCGGAAUGAACUUAAGUGAAUUAGUGGCGGACGGGUGAGUAACGCGUGAGUAACCUGCCUUACACAAGGGGAUAGCCGUUGGAAACGACGAAUAAUACCCUAUGAAACUAUCACUUCGCAUGAAGCGAUAGUCAAAGUGUUAGCGGUGUAAGAUGGACUUGCGUCUGAUUAGCUAGUUGGUGAGAAAAAAGCCCACCAAGGCAACGAUCAGUAGCCGGCUUGAGAGAGUGUACGGCCACAUUGGGACUGAGACACGGCCCAGACUCCUACGGGAGGCAGCAGUGGGGAAUUUUGCACAAUGGGGGAAACCCUGAUGCAGCGACGCCGCGUGAUUGAGAAGGCCUUCGGGUUGUAAAAAUCUUUUGUAUAGGAAGAAAAUGACAGUACUAUACGAAUAAGGUCCGGCUAAUUACGUG